UCCGGUUUGACACCGGCAGUCUCGUUAGAGUGCUCAGCACCCGAGGGCCUGAUGGCAACUAACGACAGGGGUUUCGCUCGUUAAGGGACUUAACCCGACACUUCACAGCACGAGCUGACGACAGCCAUGCAGCACCUGUGCACGUUCCACCUGAAAGGCGUGGCUCCGCUUUCACAGAGUUAAUCCGUGCAUGUCAAACCCUGGAUAAGGUUCUUCGCGUUGCUUCGAAUUAAGCCACAUGCUCCACCGCUUGUGUGAGCCCCCGUCAAUUCCUUUGAGUUUUAGCCUUGCGACCGUACUCCCCAGGCGGUGCACUAAUUGCUUUUGCUUCGACCCCGAUGGCGUCAGAGCCUCCGAGAUCUAGUGCACAUCGUUUACGGCGUGGACUAC
rnacentral:misc_RNA from 1 species